GGUUUGGUGGAUGGCAGGGACAGAAAACACAGAAUUCCUACAGAGACUGAGGUGAUGAUGAAGCAACAAAAACACCUCAGUAAAGUCUGAGGAAAGAGGUUUGUUUAAAGUCAAUUUGGACAUAAUCUGUGUUUAAAUUUAAUUGUUUUAUUUCCAGGUUACCAGGUAUUUCCAGGUAUGGUACCAGACAGGUGCUGACAGGUGAAAACCGCUCCCUAAAAACAGAAUUACUUUUUCAAAAUAAUAGCACAUAAAGUUCCAGGAGGAGUCCCUGGACAUAUUUGGCAUUUAUUUCAAUAAGAGAAAAAGAGUUAUACAGCUCACGCACAGUGUGUGCAUGAAAUAAUAAGGCAUUUCAAUAUCGGUGGAAUAAAAUAUGUAUUAUAGCUGUGCAGGCUUGUGGAAAUGUAGUGAUUGCCAUGCUGUUUUCUAAUAAGACAAUCAUUUUUAUUCAUGCCACUGACUCUGCCCUUUUCAGUGUGUUCCUCGCCAUUACACACACACUGACUAAAUUAAAAAGAUUAUUCACUUCUGACAAUUUCCCUGUUUCUUUUUAUGGCUGGCCCAUCACAGGCAGAUUUCAUGUAAAAACUUAAUGUCCUAACCCGAGAGAAAUCCAGUUCAUCCUUGAGUUUCUGUCUUUUUUUUAUUUUUAUAUUAAUUGGCAGCAGGCUGAGCUCCUAAGUAAAAGGUAAGUCUGUGUUAAAAGAGUAAGCAUGAUGAUUUUGUGAUAUUUCUGUUGACCUUAAAAAACUCUCUUUACUUCUUUUUCUUAUGCAAAAAACUUAUACGGCAACACAUCAUCCCCAAAGGCCACUUUCCAUUUCUUCGACACUCUGUUUCUUCUGCAAACUCAGUCCUCUCUACUGCAAAACAAAAACAGUCCCAGGAUUUCAGCUGCAGCGAGAGACUGAGAUAUUUUGUUAUUUUAAAGUUUUGUUGUUGUGCCCGUGUGUGUGUGUGUGUGUGUGUGUGUGUGUGUGUGUGUGUGUGUGUGUGUGUGUGUGUGUGUGUGUGUGUGUGUGUGUGUGUGUGUGUGUGUGCAUAUGUGUGAGCUAAUUCAUGCAGAGAAAUAGGAGCAAAGGACAAACGGAGAGUGGGUCCACAGCUGGACCUGGACUGAAAACGUCAUGAGUCACAGUCUGUACUUUAAACCAUGAUGGGUAACCAGGGCACCAUGGCAAAGUGAAAAUUGCUUUUUAUUUGUCCUGGUGUAAGUGGGAUUUGCAGGGGUUUGGACGUGUUGACACUUUUAUUAAAAUGAAAUUACUCCAUGCGAUGAAAAUUAAAUUCAUACAUAAAAGUUCCUGAACUACGUCUGCCAAAAAACACGUUGGGUUCUCAGGUUAUUAUGAGUAAAAAACAAACUUUAUUGCAUAAAAAAAAUCACAGGUCUUGCUAUGUAGAGUAAAAAACUGAAUACAGGUGUGUCAUAACAGAUCAGAACAUCAUGAAAAAGGUCAUGACUUGAUCAAAAUAGGUUAAGAUGAUUAAAAAAAGGAUGUUUAAUACCAAAAUGUCAGAUCUCCUUCACCAUGAACAAAUCAUAUGUACCGUAGCAUUAUGGUGACUAGGGUUGCAGAGGGGCGGAAAAUUUCUGGUAAAUUUCCAGAAACUUUUCAUGGGAAGUUAAGCUGGGUAUAUGUGGAAAUAUUCCAAAUUGGAAACUUUCUAUGGGAAUUAUGGGAAUUUAUGGAAAUUAACUGGAAAUUGGGGGUAAUUUAAACAAACUGUAUCAUAUCCAAACAAACAAUUUUUCCUUCAACAUUAGCUUCUGUGAAAUGCUUCCACACAUCAGAUGGUGAACAUGGCAUUUUCUGUAGAAAAAAAACAACAAAAAAAGUUUGUAAAAACACAAAUGCAAUGGCAUGAGCAGAAAUAUAGUUGGCUAUAAAACUGGAAUGGUCUUCAAAAUAUUUGACAAUUGAUGUAUAAAUUAUUGUACAGUUACAGAAAACCGUCUUGCAGGAGUCAUAAGAAACAGCAUCACAUUUGAGGUAGCUACAACCACCAUGAAAAGGUAGCCCCUUAAAUGCUCAAUGAAUUGAAAAAUAGUUUACAUUUAGCACCUAUUUUCAUUUAAUUCUUGCAAGUAAAAUACUGUUAUAGAUGAAAUAUAUUUACCCCAUACUAUUAUAGAAACUUAUUUGACUUUAUAUAGUCCGUGGGCUCAAAAGUGUGGCCUCCAGGGUUCAAGAAAUCAUCUGUGUAUGUGAGGGGGUGUGGCCUCAAUAGCCCUGCAGUAAACAGUGGGCUGUGUGCAUGUGACUGAGGAGUGUACUUGCAUUUAAUCAGGUUAAGUUCCCUGUUAAGGACCAACCUUCAAUUUUGUAAAUUUCAGAUUGAUUCCCGUUAACUCCCAUGGAAAGUUUCCAACUUUGAAAAUUCCUGGAAUUUUGCAACCCUAAUGUUGACCAACCUGUGACUCUACUUGCAUAUUGAUUUGGUUGUAGCCUUCAGCUCAUCUUUAUUUUGGGGUGAGGUGUUUUCUUCAUCUUCUUCUUGACAGUAACCUUCAAACUCUCUAUGGGAUUCAAACCACAGAAAUUUUUUGGGUAAACCAUUUGACGCUGCAGGCAGGUGGAACAGGAAAUCAGCAUUUCUAUUAAGUAUCUAGGGUUGGACCUAGGGUUAGGGUUAGGGUUAGGGUUGCAGCUAGGGUCAGGGUUAGGGUUAGGGUUAAAGCUAGGGUUAGGGUUAGGGUUGGAGCUAGGGUUAGGGUUAGGGUUAGGGUUGCAGCUAGGGUCAGGGUUAGGGUUAGGGUUAAAGCUAGGGUUAGGGUUAGGGUUGGAGCUAGGGUUAGGGUUAGGGUUGGAGCUAGGGUUAGGGUUAGGGUUAGGGUUGGAGCUAGGGUUAAGGUUGGAGCUAGGGUUAGGGUUAGGGUUAGAGCUAGAGUCAGGGUUAGGGUUAGGGUUGGAGCUAGGGUUAGGGUUAGAGUUGGAGUUACGGUUAGGGUUAGGGUUGGAGCUAGGGUUAGGGUUAGGGUUAGAACUAGGGUCAGGGUUAGGGUUAGGGUUGGAGCUAGGGUUAGGGUUAGGGUUGGACCUAGGGUUAGUGUUAGGGUGAGGGUUAGAGCUAGGGUUAGGGUUAGGGUUAGAGCUAUGGUUAGGGUUAGGGUUAGGGUUGGAGCUAGGGUUAGGGUUAGAGCUAGGGUUAGGGUUAGGGUUGGAGCUAGGGUUAGGGUUAGGGUUAGAGCUAGGUUUAGGGUUAGGGUUGGAGCUAGGGUUAGGGUUAGGAUUAAGGUUAGAGUUGGAGCUGGGGUUAGGGUUAGGGUUAGGGUUAGAGUUGGAGCUGGGGUUAGGGUUAGGGUUAGGGUUGGAGCUGGGGUUAGGGUUAGAGUUGGAGCUGGGGUUAGGGUUAGGGUUAGAGUUGGAGCUGGGGUUAGGGUUAGGGUUAGAGUUGGAGCUGGGGUUAGGGUUAGGGUUAGGGUUGGAGCUGGGGUUAGGGUUUGGGUUAGAGUUAGAGUUGGAGCUGGGGUUAGGGUUAGGGUUAGGGUUGGAGCUGGGGUUAGGGUUAGGGUAAGGGUUAGAGUUGGAGCUGGGGUUAGGGUUAGGGUUAGGGUUGGAGCUAGGGUUACGGUUAGGGUUAGAGUUGAGGUGGGGAUAGGGUUAGGGUUAGGGUUAGAGUUGGAGCUGGGGUUAGGGUUAGGGUUAGGGUUAGGGUUGGAGCUAGGGUUAGGGUUAGGGUUAGAGUUGGAGCUGGGGUUAGGGUUAGGGUUAGGGUUAGAGUUGGAGCUGGGGUUAGGGUUAGGGUUAGGGUUGGAUCUGGGGUUAGGGUUAGGGUUGGAAUUAGGGUUAGGGUUAGGGUUGGAGCUAGGGUUAGAAUUAGGGUUAGGGUUGGAGCUGGGGUUAGGGUUAGGGUUGCAUCUAGGGUUAGGGUUGGUGCUGGGGUUAGGGUUAGGGUUAGAGCUAGGGUUAGGGUUAGGGUUGGAGCUAGGGUUAGGGUUAGGGUUAGAGCUAGGGUUAGGGUUAGGGUUGGAGCUGGGGUUAGGGUUAGGGUUAGGGUUGCAGCUAGGGUUAGGGUUAGGGUUAGGGUUUAAGCUAGCUCUUACCCUAACCCUAACCCUAUCUCCAACCCAACCCUAGAUGCAACCCUAACCCUAACCCUAGCUCCAACCCUAACCCUAACCCUAGCUUUAACCCUAUCCCUAACCCUAACCGUGAGACCUUUGUAGAGUCACUGAUUAUCUUCUAGCUAACAGCAGGUCAGUCGUCUCCUCCAUGAUGAUACUUCACAGUAUUUUUUACAUUUGCUGUACCUUUUAAGCAAAGUUCAACGUCAUGUGAACAGUCAGUAUCGUUUCAAAAGAGCAAACUUUCUGUCUAAUUUCCUGACAAACUUAUCUGUGGGGUAUAUGUCUUUAUGAUGCUACGGGGGGAUGUGAUUGGCAAGGUUUAAAUGCAUCCCACUGAACAUACAGUCAGCACAGCCGGCUAUCCACAGGGUGACUUCUCUCUCUCUGUGCUAUCUAAAGCUCUAUUUGUUUGAAACUCAGCUCUAAAUUCAUGCACCAUCUCUCCGAGCUCCUCCACAUGCAUUGCCCUUGGUGAUUGAAGUUCCUCCAAAAAUCCCUGACUAAUGCUGUGUUUGCACCAUCAUUUGCAUAUGUAAAAAUUUAUGUGUAUCAGCGCUGUUUGGAGACUCAUAUUAGUUUGAGGAACAAAGUGUCGAGUUUUAACUGGGGCAUCAAAACACAAAAACAAACACAUGACAAGGACGACAACAAACAAGCAAACUCCACACAUCGGCAGCGUCCUCUCUGUGCUGAAGCAUCAAAGCUUUAGACUUCUGUUUCCUGAGUAUGAACUAACACACACACAAACACACAAACACAAACAAAAUAAAAGUAAGUUUAGACUGACUCAUCUUGCAUCAGUCUGACUUUAUGGACCUAAUGAUUAAUAUCCUCUGCUCUAUUUUUUCCCUCAAUCAGAGUCUGUGAAGAUUGCCUUUGAAACGAGACAGAAAUGCUCCACAACAAUGCAGAAAUUGGAGUUAAUGGAAACGUGUGCGUUGAAAGGUAAUAACCUUUUUCACCAAUUAUACAUUACCUGUUGGAACUUCAUGUUUACCCGUCUUUGACAGAUUUUAGAGACACCAAAUUACACCACCGUGCACUUGUUCUUGUUUUUUUCAGCGGAAUAUAACUCCUACAUUCUGAACCUAAUGAGACAUGGACCCUGAACUCUGAAGGUGUCCUGUUGUAUCAAGCACAAAGAUGGGCCUUCAUGGAUCCGUGGACCUCCACCAGACACCUGACUGGAUUGAGAGCCAAGUCAACACUUUGAACUGGAUUUCCUUCCCUCCAAUGCUCCAUGGUUCAGUUCUGAUGUCUCUUGCACCAGAUUACGGAGGUCAUCAGGGGACACCCAACAGUGUUUUGACACAAUAAUUUGGAUAAUUAUCAUACCGUAGAUCUGUCAUUGUGAUAUUGACGCGCCAUAAAAUGACCACAUCCAACUGGUUAUAAAGCCUACUGUGGUAAUAAGGCAGAUCGUUUUAUAAGACUGUGGUGUGGAUGAGUCACCGAUACUGACGUCUGAGUCCAGUCUUGAGUCCCUGAUGUUCCAGUCUGAGUCACCAGAGAGGAAUCAGGAACAGGCCAAAGUGGAGUCCUCAUUACCUGUGGAUUUAAGGAGAGAGCUGCUGUGUCACUCCAAACUGUGGGUUGUCUGAACUGGUAGCUUAGAAAAGAGACUGCAGGUGUGCAACAGAAAAACCUGUCUGUGUUACAUUUAUUUUCUCCAAAAGACCAGAGUUAGUCAGACUGACGUGCUCUCCUACAAAGAUGUUACAACAUAUAUACCAUAAAUCUUUAAUCAUGACAUUUUCCAACCAGUUUUCUGGCAGACUAUUUACAUCCCCCUGUAGAGAGGCUCAUGGUGCACCUCUCAUCCAAACUGUCCAAUGAUCAGAACCGAUCAGAACCAUGGACUGUCAAUCAGCCGGCCUCAGACUCCCAUAGACCUACUCCUUUACAGAAAACCUGAAUCAGCUUUAAACAACAGGUUACUGACAACACAGGCUGGGCAGAAAAUGCACAGCUGAAAGAAAAGCACAUUUAAACUGCAUAUAUACCUUCUAAUUUUUAGUGACAACCCCCUAAUCAGAUUCAUAUGGAAGCCCAUUCAUGCCCAUUUAAAAAUGGUUUGGUCUACAUAAAAAAUGAAAAAGAAAAAAACCUUAUAAUAAGUCAAAAGUCAAAUUAUAAGAUAAAAGUUGUAAUAAUUGAAGUAAAGAUAACUACCAACUGUCAUCAUUAUGACUUUUUAUCUCAAAAUAACUCAUUAUUUUUAUUUUGAACUCUUAAUUUCAACAAUUCUGCAUCUAAAUUCUGCUGCUAUUGGUCUGUACCUGGACCUUUUGGAUAUUUAGAAACCCAUUUCCCUCAUAAAAAAUUAGAUUCUGACUGAUCAUUUCAGAAUGUUUGGAUAUUUAAAUUAUUAAUGAAGUUACAACUGUCUAUAGUGUGCAUAAAAGUUUUUUUUUCUGCAGCAGUUUAUGAUCACAAGGGUCAACUACCUGUCAUUAGUGUGCCUCCUGGACAGAUGUUGAAAGUCUGCAUUUUUCUCCUCAUAACCUUACCAACACCGUAAUGCAGACCAUGCAUCAGAUUAUCAGCAUGUGUCAUUUAUAAAGUCUGCACACCUGCAGAAGAAUCCUUCUCUGUGUUCAUUCACAUUCAUUUUCACACCUUAUAAUCACACUUCUCACUGAACCACUGCUGCUCUCUGUGAACAAACACUUGAAUGUCUAAUGAGCUGUUGCUGCUCAGCUCUCUUUCCGUAUCAGUGUUAUUUUUUUAAAGAUAAAACCUCAUUCAAUAAUAUUAAUAAUAUCAUUCACUGUUGUAUUAGCAGAUGGUGUCUGUAUAGCACUUUGACAAAGAGAGACCCUUCUGCAUUUAAGCCCACAGACUGACAGAUUUACACAUCACCAAUUAACUUGAAUAAGGCAGCUUGACACUCGUAACCAGAAUGUGUUGCAGUGUUAUCAGUCAGUGUGUAUGUGCCUGUGUGUGUGAGAGAGAUAGAGCAAUGAAGAAAGAAAGAGUGCUACAGAACAACAUGGUAAUGAGAAACUAAUCAUUAUUUUCUGCUUGAAUUGGUGGAAUAAUAAAAUCUUCUGUUAAGCAAAUGUGACCCAAGCUGUCAUUGAGAUAUCUAUGUGUGUAUGCGUGGUCGUGUUUGCAUCAUUUGCAUGGACAGUAUGUGUGUCCAUAGGCUCGUGCAUCCUUCCCUUUUGAGUUAAUUGACACUCUGAACAGACUACGGUUACCCGUCUCAAUAAUGGUUGUUAUGGAAACAAUGUUUGGUGUGACAGAUGUGUUUGUGGCAGAUCGGGAUACGGCAAAACCACGAGGGACACACGUGGAUUUGGAUGAAGUGACUGCAAAUAGAAAACUGGACAAAAACAAAGAACGAGAGCACAAUGCAAAAGCCUCAUAAUGAACACAGUGAAUGAACACAUUUGUGGAAUAUAGAAGGAAUUAAAUGCCAACAAAUCAGUGUAAAUAUUUCAAUCUGCAUCAUUAUUCCACCCGAUUAACAACAGAGACGUAAAUAUGAAUGAAAAGAGAGGAUCGCAUCAUUUCCAAGUGAAAUGAAAUGAAAGGGAAUUUAACGGUAACUAGCAUCCCACGGGGCAUCAAUGGGCCCAAGCAGUGUCGCACCGCUACUUCUAAAAACAACCUUGUAAAAAGCUCUACUUGUCUUUGAGGCGGCGCUGUUGCAAGAGUAAGCCUCAUCAUGAAAAGUUGUGCAUGUCUGAAAGUAGACUAUUGUGGGUACCUCUGGCUGCAGUUUCAGCUUUCUAUUCAUAAAUCCCUAUAAAUCCCUGAUAUAAAUAUCAGUUUAGUAUAAAAAAUUUUAAAAAAAUUAUAUGAAAAAAUUGUCAUAGUAUAGUAUGUCAAAAAUGUCAUAGUAUAGUAUGUUUAAAAUGUCAUAGUAUAGUAUGUUUAAAAUGUCAUAGUAUGGUAUGACAUAUAGUUCAACAUUUUUGUUAGAAAAAAUUGUCAUAGUAUGGAAUGUCAAAAAAUGUCAUAGUAUAGCAUUAUAAAAAUGUUGUAGAAUAGGAUGAUAUAAACAAUAAAAAAAUUUGGAUUAAAAAAAUGUAAUUGUAUUGUUUGUAAAAAAAAUGUCAUAGUAUAGUAUGAUAUAAACAUUCACAUUUUUGUUUGAAAAAAGGUCAUAGUACAGUAUAAUAAAAAUAUCAUAGUUUAGUAUUUGAAAAAAAAAUGUAUGAAAAAGUGUCAAAAGAUUAUAUGAUUAAAAGAGCAUAGUAUAGUAUAUUAAAAAUUUCAAAGUAUAGUAUAAAAAUAAAAAAUAAACAUUUGUAUGAAAUAUUCAUCAUAGCAUAAUAUGUCAAAAAUGUCAUAGUAUAUUAUGUUAAAAAAAAUUCAAAUUUUUGUUUGAAAAAUGUCAUAGGAUAGUAUGUUUAAAAAGGACAUAGUAUAGUAUAAUAAAAAUGUCAUAGUAUAGUAUGUUAAAAAAAAAUCAUAGUAUAGUAUAAUAAAAUCAUGCACUGUAGUGUGUGGCACAGUGGUGUGAUGGUUAGUGCUAUUGCUUCAGAGUCCAAAGGCCCUAGGUUCAAAUCCUAGUCAUGUAUGGUUUAAUGAAAACAUAGUAUGAGAAAAAAUGUUAUCGUAUUGUAUGAUAAAAAAGUCAUAGUUAAGUAUGAUCAGAAUUUCAAAUUUAAGGAUAGAAAAAGUCAAAGUAUGGGGUGAUGAAAAUGUCAUGUAUGUCAAAAAUGUCAUAAUAUAGUAUGUUUAAAAUCUCAUAGUAUUGUAUGACAAAAGAUUAAAAAAUUUUUUUAGAAAAAAAGGUCAUAGUAUAGUAUGAUAAAAAUAUCAUAGUUCAAAAAAUGUAUCAAAAAAUAUUUUUGUAUAACAAAUGUCAUAGUAUAGUAUGAUAAAAUUGUCAUAGUAUAGCAUGAUAAAAAAUGGCAUAGUGUAGUGUGUAAAAAUGUCAUAGUAUAGUAUGAUAAAAACAUUCAUAUUUCUGUAUGAAAAAAUGUCAUAGUAUAGUAUGUUAAGAAAGGACAUAGUAUAGUAUGUUAAAAAUGUUUUUUUUGCAUGAAAAUAUUAUAUAUAUAAUAUAAUAUGUGAAAAAACGUCAUAGUAUAGCAUGAUAAAAAAAGUUUUGUAUGAAAAUUUUAUAGUCAAGUAUGAUAAAAAUUUUGGAUUGGAAAUAAUAUCAGUAUAGAAUGUGAAAAAAAUCGAUGUAUAGUAUUUUAUAAAAUGUCAUAGAAUAGUUAGUUUAAAAAAUGCAAUUUUUUAUCAUAGUCUAGUAUGAUAAAAAAAUGUCAGAAAAGUAUGAUAAAAAAUCCAUUUUUUUUACGAAAAAAAUUGCGAUAAUAUAAUAUGUCAAAGAUUUUAUAUUAUAUUAUAAAAAUGUCAUAGUAUAGUUUAAAUAACAUUUUUCAAUUUUUUGUGAAAAAAAUGUUAUGGUAUAGUAUGAUUAAAAAAGUAUGAUAAAAAUAUCAUAGUAUAAAAUAAUAAAAAUUUUACAGUGUGGUUUGAUUAAAAAAAUUAAAGUAUAGAAUUAUAAAAAUGUCACAGUGUUGUUCGAUAAAAAAAUUUCAUGGUAUAGUAUGAUAAAAAUAUCAACGUAGUAGAGACUUCAUUCUGGUACCAGUAAACUCAUAGUACAUGAAAUAGGGUGGUUUUGUCAAGAUCCUAGAUCUCUAUCUCGUUUCCUUGAGGAUUGCCUGGCAGCGAUUGUGGUUAAUCAAGCCAGACCGGUUUUGGAUGGUCUCAAAUUUUCCAAUUGUUUUGGCUUGAUCUGGUCUGCUUUGGUUAAAUCCGCAGUUUUACCCUCACUGGUUAACAGCAUGACUCAACCCUCUUCUGUUAGUCUGUUCAGGGUUACACAAAAUGAAAAUCUUUUGUCUUGUUAAUCACUUCAGAGGCUGGGGUUUGGAUCCAGUUUAGACACAAUUAUGGUGGACAUGAAGCCAGAUUUUCUUGGCUCUGACAAACCGUUACUACCCUUUUACCUUCAGAAGAUGUCGUCAUAGUUAGUUUGAGUUCGCUGCAACCUCGACAUGACACUUCUUUCGACUUAGUGGAAGAUGAACCACCGCUCUCUCCCCUCUCUUAACCUAGCUUAGUCUCAGGAGAUGACUGUCUGACAUAAGUCUGGUUCUACUCAAGGUUUCUGCCUGUUAAAAGAAGCUCUUCCUCUCUUGAUAAAUGCUGCAAAGUGUUUCACUCAUGGUUGAAGAGGGGAUGGGAGUGGGUCUGAUCUCAAAAUACGGGGCUCAGUCGUUUCCAAUCUUUAUAUCAGGUCUUCAUCAGUCUGACAUUGAUCAAAUACUUCCACCAAGCUUUCCCUAAUGAUACAACAUAAAGUGAGAACAGAUUGGUUGGAGUCUAAGGUGGAUCUAGUGUGUGUGAGUAGAUCUCAGACCUCUGUAUUUCCAUUUAAGUGAUGCCUGUCAGCUAAAGCAUUCAGUAAAACCCCAAAUACUGUAUAAGUGUAUUCCAGUGUUUCCCAAAGACUAAGCGCCAGGUGUUUGUGCAUGCAUGUGUGUGUGUGGUUCGGCUUAGUGUGCUGAUGCGCUGUCCCUUCAGCAUGCGCAGUGAUUGGCAGCUCCCGUUUGGGCGUCGUUGAUAACACACAGGAGGGCCACUGCCACAGAUGAGCUCUGUCAAGCUGUCUGCCAGUCAGACACCUACACCCCCUCCCAACCUCCCCACGCACACACUCUUCUUUUCUCUCUCACACACACACACACACACCAGCCUACAACUCAAUCUCUUUUCCAGUGAACCCUGCUCUGACUCUUCUUUGUGUUUGAUACACACUCUGUCUCUCCACUUUCAAACACACACACAAACGUCUAGCAGACCAAGACUCUCCACUGAAUAUACUAUCAACAGCAGACAACAACACAGUCAUUCACACACACAACCUGUCAGUCCUGCCUGUGGCCAGCUAUUGAACCUGGUAUUCUGAUAAGAGCAACAACAGGCCUCCUCUCUGCAGGGAGAGACGCCUCAUUCAUAUGUAUCUUGUGAUGUGUUGGGGACUCUCUGUCACUUGUUUGUCACUGUGGAUGGUUUGAAAAGACCAGGCUGACAUUUGGCCGGGCAUUAUUCAAUACAGCCACCGAGGAAAGCAAAUGGAGGAGUUUCAGUGUGUUGACUUUGUCUUGAGUUGAGCUGAGUUCAAGUUUAAAGGUAGCCAACUGUGGAUGCUAAAAUACUAGUGCUAAUACCAGUGCUCCAUCCUCCUCGUAUCUGCCAUUCCAACUCUGUCACCGCCUCAAAUGAAGGAUCAAAGGUGGAGCUGUGUAAAAAGUAACACCCACAAGCUGUGUCUUACUUCAAAUCAAAGGAAAGGAGGCAGAAAUGAAGCAUUAAGGUAUAUGCUGGAAAGUUUCUGUGCAACGUCAUCGCAGGUAUGCGCGCGCAGCCUUGGGGCAGAAAGCGAGAUAUUUCUUAUUUGUUUACUAGCGGAGUCAACGGAGAAAGAAAAUGACAAGAAGCUGUUGUGCUGUAAACUGCAUGAACUAUCGGCAAACAUUACGACCCUGCUCCUGAUAUUAGAAACAUCUAAAACAACGUCACAACAAGUCAAAUUCAUGGAUAUUUCAGCAAUUUUUUAUGAUUUUGAUGCAAGGAAAAGAAAAGCAAAAUGUUUCCUGACUUUAUCAAAUGUUUAGUCCUCAAAAGUUAGCAAAACGAUAAAAAAAAAACUGGUGUUCAAAUAAAAAAAAUUCAUAGAAUAGUAUGAUAAAAAUUUUUUUGAAUUUUUGUAAAAAAAAAUGUCAUAGUAUAGUAUGUUUAAAAAUGUCAAAGUAUGGUAUGAAAAAAAAAAUUAAAAUGUAUGUAUGAUAAAAAGUGUCAUAGUUUAGUAUGAUAAAAAAAUCAUAAAAUACUAUGAUAAAAAAACAAAAUUUUUGUAUAGUUUGAUAAAAAUGCCAUAGAAUAGUAUGUUCAAAAAAUUCAUAGUAUAGUAUGAUAAAAAUGUCAGUAUAGUAAAAUCAAAUUUUUCCAAUUUUUAUGUGAAGAAAAUUUCAUAUUAUAGUAUGAUAAAAAAUUUCCAAUUUUUGUAUGAAAAAAAUAUCAUAUUAUAGUAUGUUUUAAAAAGUCAUAGUAUAGUAUGAUAUAAAAAUUUUUCAUGAAAAAUGUCAUAGUGCAGUAUGUUCAGAAAUGUCAUAGUAAGGUAUGAUAAAAAAAAAAAAAAAAUGUUAUAGCCGCUCUAAACUGCACAAAUCGGCUAAACAAACAAUCGGCAAACAUUAUGACCCUGCUCCUGAUAUUAGAAACAUCUAAAACAACGUCACAACCUGGUAAAUUGAGUGAAAUGAGAAAUGAGUGUAAAAGGUCUCCUUUAACUCAAAUAUAAAUGCUGCUUUGGGUUUCUUUCUGUGCUGCCUGACUUAAUCAAAUGUUUAGUCCUCAAAAGUUAGCCAAAAGAAGAAAAAAAAAAAAGGUGUUCAAAUAAAAAAAAUCAGAUAGAAGGAGCUUGAAAAGCUCCUGUGAGUUGAGGGAGAGUUGGGUAAUUAACUCUGAAAGUCUUGAAAUAUGAAUUUCCUCUUUUCUGACACUUUUUUAAUCAGUUGUGAAAGCUCCUGUGAGGAGAAUUUGGCUGGUCAUGAAACACGCUGAAAUAAAUCUGAUGCUUCUGUAUGAUCUACGAAAGCAAACGGGACUAUCAGGGAGUAAAUUUGUAGGUAGGUGUCAGAUGAUGCAAUUCACAAUAUGCUGGAGUAACAGCCUCUUCAAGAAAAAGAAAAGAUCAUACGGAAUAUAUCCCAAAGGUGCCUCAUUUUAAAGCAACAGUGGAAGAUUUUU
rnacentral:lncRNA from 1 species